CGGGAGGCCGGCGGGUCGGGGAUCCUUCUUCGCCUUCUCCUCCGGGUGCAGGAAAUGUCAGAAGGCCCUUGCCCAGGUGGGGGGAUGAAGGAAUUUCUCUCCACUCCCCCUCCCCUUUCCUGCUGCUAGAGGGGGCUAAGACCCGUCUCUGUCAAUGGAAGGAGGGACAGCAUGGGCGAGUAGGAGCGAGAAGGUUUUCCAGCACGGAAAGGACAAUUAUUAAGUCAGACCUUCUUAGAAAUGUCCCAUCCCUUAAAAGCCCUGGAUCGUCCCCCUUCACUGGCGAAGGGAAAGCUUGUCAUUCCCAGGCACAAGGACCCGACCUGUCAGUAUCUCACGGCUUUGGCUUUGAAAUUGACAAGACACAUACAGCCCACUGGAGAGCGGACAGCUCUGGAGCGCCCAAGGACCAUGGCAACAGCAGCACGGCUGGUGCUCCCCUAAGGAAUGUUCAGACAGAAGAAAAAAAGUUGCAGUGUAUAGAACACAUGCCAAAAUUUGACUUUUAUUGCACUAAGGAAUGAGCACAGAGAAUGGCCUUCUAGCAAGAUGAAGAUCUCAGUCUCCAUAGACUUUCAUCAAUAAGCAGCAGCAUGGAGGCACGCAAGAGAAAAUAUUCUGUCAAGCAGAAAAAUAGCUACGCUUGCAAUAUGUAGCACAGGAAAUCUAUUUGGCCUUUAUGCUUCUAUUCACUUCUUCAGUUGCUUAUUCCCAGUUUGAACUCCGUUUAUGGCUCUUAUAUAUUUCAGUUUCACUUUUGCACUGACUGGGAUUCCUAUUGUUUCCUCCUCCUGCACAUAGCAGGACUCUGUUCAGUGAAGGGAGGCUCUCAAGCAAAAUUGCUUAUUAUCCAAUAAAUAUUGUUUUAUCAAGUUACUACACAUACUAAUUAAAGAACAACAACUGCAUUUGUUUCCAUUUUA